UCCUGGUAGCUCAGAUGGUAAAGAGUCUGCCUGCAAUGUAGGAGACCUGGGUUCAAUCCCCGGGCUGGGAA
rnacentral:tRNA from 1 species